UACAGAGGUCUCAAGCGUUGUUCGGAUUCAUUGGGCGUAAAGGGUGCGUAGGUGGCGGGGUAAGUCAGAUGUGAAAUCUCGGGGCUCAACCCCGAAACUGCAUUUGAUACUGCUUUGCUAGAGUACUGGAGAGGAGAUUGGAAUUUACGGUGUAGCAGUGAAAUGCGUAGAUAUCGUAAGGAAGACCAGUGGCGAAGGCGAAUCUCUGGACAGUUACUGACACUGAGGCACGAAGGCCAGGGGAGCAAACGGG
rnacentral:rRNA from 1 species